UACGGAGGGGGCUAGCGUUGUUCGGAAUCAUUGGGCGUAAAGGGCGCGUAGGCGGCCGGCCAAGUCGGGUGUGAAAUCCCUCGGCUCAACCGAGGAACUGCACUCGAUACUGGUUGGCUAGAGUCCGGGAGGGGAUGGUGGAAUUCCCAGUGUAGCGGUGAAAUGCGUAGAUAUUGGGAAGAACACCGGUGGCGAAGGCGGCCAUCUGGACCGGAACUGACGCUGAGGCGCGAAAGCCAGGGGAGCGAAUGGG
rnacentral:rRNA from 1 species